AGAGUUUGAUCAUGGCUCAGAACGAACGCUGGCGGCGCGCCUAAUACAUGCAAGUCGAGCGAGAAGGUGUAGCAAUACACUUGUAAAGCGGCGAACGGGUGAGGAAUACAUGGGUAAUCUACCAUCGAGUGGGGAAUAACCAACCGAAAGGUUGGCUAAUACCGCGUACGCCUCCGAGUCUUCGGGUUCGGAGGGAAAGCUGCACUGUGAGUGUAGCGCUCUUUGAUGAGCUCAUGUCCUAUCAGCUUGUUGGUAGGGUAACGGCCUACCAAGGCUUUGACGGGUAGCUGGUCUGAGAGGACGAUCAGCCACACUGGCACUGCGACACGGGCCAGACUCCUACGGGAGGCAGCAGUAAGGAAUAUUGCGCAAUGGGCGAAAGCCUGACGCAGCGACGCCGCGUGGGGGAUGAAGGUCUUCGGAUUGUAAACCCCUUUCGGGAGGGAAAAUGGAGCGAGCAAUCGUUCGGACGGUACCUCCAGAAGCAGCCACGGCCAACUUCGUGCCAGCAGCCGCGGUAAUACGAAGGUGGCAAGCGUUGUUCGGAUUCACUGGGCGUACAGGGUGUGUAGGCGGUUUGGUAAGCCUUCUGUUAAAGCUUCGGGCCCAACCCGGAAAGCGCAGAGGGUACUGCCAGGCUAGAGGGUGGGAGAGGAGCGCGGAAUUCCCGGUGUAGCGGUGAAAUGCGUAGAGAUCGGGAGGAAGGCCGGUGGCGAAGGCGGCGCUCUGGAACAUACCUGACGCUGAGACACGAAAGCGUGGGGAGCAAACAGGAUUAGAUACCCUGGUAGUCCACGCCC
rnacentral:rRNA from 1 species